rnacentral:rRNA from 1 species
GUCUACGGCCAUACCACCCUGAAGGCGCCCGAUCUCGUCUGAUCUUGGAAGCUAAGCAGGGUCGGGCCUGGUUAGUACUUGCAUGGGAGACCAAAACAAAAGUCCACCAUUUAUU